UGCAGUAGCACGUAGCAAAUAACUGCUUGCAAACAAUUUCUUUCAAGCGCAUUGAUUACCUGUAAUUUUGCGAAGAAUGAUUUUUACUUCUCCGCAUUUAGCCUUAAAACUGGUUCUGGACUUAGGUUGGCGGCUUUUCAAAUUUACUCCCAGUUGACAGCCGCCCUCCACCCUUGUGAUCGACGGGAUUUGCUUCUUCGGAGGUUCUGGAACUCGACUUGUUCAAGCAUUAGUGGAACGCAAAAGGGUUCAUUUCUACAAUGCGCUGUACACUGCUUUUAAUUUCAGUGUGGAAGCCAUUGUGGCAAAUCUGAUUAUAGCGGUCGCCUAUUUGGGAGGUCAUUAUUUUCGAAUGAUAAAUUUGAAAAUCGUACGGUUACACCAAAAAUGGAAUACCUUAGAAAGGGGUCAGACAUACAGCAAAUUAAAUUCUGAAGGAAAGCGGCAUUUGUGUGAAAAAAUAUCUAUCGAACUCAGUAGGCUAAUGAUUGGGCAUGAGAAGGUGAACCGAACGAUACUAAAAUUUAUGCAGCUUCAUGAUGCAUCAAUGGUUUUGAUACAAUUGAAGAAUUUUGUAGUUAUCAUCAUGGGAGUGUUCAUUGCAUGUGUAACAACGGUCAACGAUAUAAGAAGGAAUCGAACCCCAUCUUUUGGAAUUUACGGCUAUCUGGCGGUUUUGUCGGUUUUCCAUUUCAUUCAAUUUUACUAUUUGAUGGCAAGUGCUUCCUUAUUUACAAAGCGGGUAGAAUUUAGUGUUUGAAUGAUUGAAUACAUUUUAAAUUAAUAUUUAUUUGUUGCAGGGUGACAAAACGGGACAAAUAGUUGAUUUUAUGAUAGCAAGAGAACAUGAUGACGAAUUGGAUGUAAAGAUACAUGCUUUUAGUAUGGAGCUAUUGCACCGUGACAACAAGAUAUAUAGUUUUGGACUAUUUCCAAUUGAUUUUUCGCUUCUAUAUGUGUCUUUAGGAUCCAUGGCUAAUUAUUUGAUUGUUUCCAUUCAACUGCAGAUACAGGAGUUUGAAUAAUAAACAAAAUCUAAUUGAAAAUUA